rnacentral:rRNA from 1 species
UACGUAGGGUGCGAGCGUUGUCCGGAAUUAUUGGGCGUAAAGAGCUUGUAGGCGGUCUGUCGCGUCUGCUGUGAAAAUCCGGGGCUCAACCCCGGACUUGCAGUGGGUACGGGCAGACUAGAGGUGUGGUAGGGGAGACUGGAAUUCCUGGUGAUAGCGGUGAAAUGCGCAGAUAUCAGGAGGAACACCGAGUGGCGAAGGCAGGUCUCUGGGCCACUACAUGA